AUGGAGGAAGAAGAAACUCAUUCACUUUUUACAAGUUUUCUUUCUGAUUCUUAUGAUGAUCUAUCCUCUCUUAUACGGUAAUGGCAUUUUCUAAACCACUUUCAGAUUAAGAAAGCUUCAAAGCAUCACCUCUUAUACUAUUUGGGGCAUUUGAAGGCAAUAUCUGAUAGCCAAGAAAGCUGCACCUGGCGUGAUUUCGUGAGGGUGGACACAUCGGUUCAUGUCGUUAAGGUAAUUUCAUAACAAAUUUUCAAUUUAUGAUAAAAAUCACAUUUUUAUAAUGAUCUAUCCUCUCAAAUCCAACUGCCAUAGUUCUUGCAUGCAGGGUUCAAAAUUGCAGAUCCAUUGUAAGUUUUGUUGGUUUAAAUUUUGCUUAUGUUUAUAGAAAUCAAUUGCAUGAUCAUAUCUGUACCUUCUCAUUUUUUUUCUAUGUGCUAAUUAACAAAUAUGAAUAUAGGGGUAUGAUUCUCUAUCUAGCUAGUGGUUAAGUUCCAAUUAGGCAGAACAAGAUGUCUGCAGGACCAAGAUAACUGGAUUGGAGACUUCAUGAAUGCAGGAUCCUUUUGGAAUCAUCUGAUCAGCUGGUAGAUGGAAUAUCUGUUAAUUCCCAGUGUUGAUUCUGUAAGCAUUGCAGAUAAUGUUGUUGAUGCCACAAUACCAAAAGAUGCAAGAAGCUUGGUCAAUUAAAAUUUUUGAAUAGUUUAUAUACCUAAUACCUGUAAAUACAAUGUGUUAGUAAUGUUGAUGGUGUCUGAUCUAAAGCCCAAAAAGUCUUUGUAUAAGUCCUCUGUUAAUUUAUCAAUCACAUUGUUCAUGUACAAAUAAAGACUCCUACAAAGUAUUUUGCUAAAAUUCCAAUAAUUCGAUCAUUAGCUGCUAGGAUCAGACCAUUAGCGGCAUUAUUACAUCGUAUAGUGAGCGUGCUAGCUUUCUUCAAGCUUUCUAAGUUUUGGCAGCAGCUGCAGGACAGUUGAUGUUCAUUAUGCUAAAGGCAAAAUCCUG
rnacentral:lncRNA from 1 species